rnacentral:rRNA from 1 species
GAUGAACGCUGGCGGUAUGCCUAACACAUGCAAGUCGUACGAGAGUUUUUAACUCUAGUGGCGGACGGGUGAGUAACACGUGAGAAUUUGCCUUUAGGAGGGGGAUAACAAUUGGAAACGAAUGCUAAUACCCCAUAUGCUUUUGAGUGAAAUGGAUUUUAUCCGCCUAGAGAGAAGCUCGCGGCUGAUUAGCUUGUUGGUAAGGUAAGAGCUUACCAAGGCGACGAUCAGUAUCUGGUUUGAGAGGACGAUCAGACACACUGGAACUGAGACACGGUCCAGACUCCUACGGGAGGCAGCAGUGGGGAAUUUUGGACAAUGGGCGCAAGCCUGAUCCAGCAAUGCCGCGUGCAGGAAGAAGGCCUUCGGGUU